AAACACAUAAGUGUCUUGAAAGUUCAAGUGAUUCAUCCCAUCCACAGAAAAGCUUUUUGAAGAACAAAGGAAGUUUGACGCAGUGAUCACUUUGGAGGAUUCAGCAGCACCAUCCUACCUUGCUUGUCGUGGGUGCUUGGUGGACAUCGUGGAUACAAUAGAUACUGAGAGGGUUUUCCAUGUAAGUGCACUUGUGAAUGACUAAAGGUAAUAGAGCAUGUAGCAGAAGCUGCUGAGUUUUGUAAGUCACUCUUGGCCUUGACUAGUCCUGAGGGAGCUACAGUGAUUUCGACUACUAACCGUUCUAUGAGAGCAUAUGCAACUGCUAUUGUUGCUGCCGUGUACCUCCUCCGUGGGUAUGUUUUUUUUUCCUCUCUCCUAGUUUUGAGCUAGUUUCAUUCUCUUCUAGAUAUGAUGGUUGAUUGAUUAGCUGACACAAUCACAUGAAUUCCGAAUCAAUUUAGUUCGGCGACAUCACUCGUUGGUUAGAUCUAACAUUUAACAAGGCAACGUACAAGGUACGCAUCAGUGGUUGAGUUUCUUUACCCAUGAAUAACUAGUGUUGAUCCUACAACUUUCUUCUAUUAGUUUAAACCGCAAUUGCAUGCUUUCCGAUUGAUGCAUGUUUUCACCAUGCCUCAGUUUUUCUAAUGCAAUCAAUAUACUUUUGCCGAAUCUUGGUCGUCCUUCCUCGGAUUCAUCCAGGUCAAAGGGACGGGUGGAUCUGUGUACAGCCCCCUAGACAGGAAGGUGGUGGUCUCUUGCUGGUGAUAUUAGCGUGAAUUUUAUUGCUCUGGGAACAAUAAACAGCCGUUGAAUGGAAAAUUCAUGAGAAAAAUCUGAUGCUGUAUUUUCCAUCAUGUAUGAAAUUAGAUGAUAAUAUCAUUUAAUGUGACGUAAUAAUAGUAAUAAUUUUUUUAAAUUUAAUUUUUUAAGCUAAAUGAAUUAAUAUGGGAUUUUUUUCGAUCAGUUUUUCUUGGGGACUAAAAAUGGGCUCAUGAUGACGUGCCCAUCCCAUCAACGACAUUAUCAUUUGAUCCCAGAGAAGAUGAACGUUUGAGUUUCUCGAGACGCUUUGGUUGUGUCCUACACGUCUCUUGACGGCCACUCAACGCGCCGCGAAUACCCGUCCCUGCAUACUCGCGCUCUGAACGGCGAUGGCUUCGGGGUUCGGCCCACGUGUCGUUGUCGAAGGGCGAGUGGCGCCUCACGCGACUCCUCCGCUGAGGGAGCUUUCCUCCGGUCUUAGGCUCCGUGUGGGCCCCUCCUCCUGGGCUAAAGGCUUUUCGGGGAGGAUAAUGUACCCAAUUAAAAUGCCCACAUGCUGACGGAAUUGCCCCUCUCUUUAAAAGUUAUUGGAUUAGUUAAUACGUUUAUAAGUAAAUCAAUUAUACGCGA